rnacentral:rRNA from 1 species
UGCUUCCGGAUUAAGAUCGAGAGGUACGACCUGCCCGGUGACAUUAGUUAAACGGCUGCAGUACUCUGACUGUGCAAAGGUAGCAUAAUCAUUUGCCUAGUAAUUUUAGGCUGGAAUCAACGGUUAGACGAGGAACUGGCUGUCUCCCUAUAGUUUAUUUGAAAUUAGUUUUGAAGUGAAGAUACUUCAAUAAAAUAGUGGGACGAGAAGACCCUAUUGAGCUUUAGCUCAAUUAAAAGUUUAUCAUUUUAGGAGAGUUUGGAUUGGGGCAAUUCUUUUUAUAAUAAAACAAAAGUUUGUUUAAAUGAAUUGAUACUAAUCAGAUCCUAAAUAUUUAGAAGUAAGAAAAAGUUACCAUAGGGAUAACAGCGUUAUUUUUCUUGAGAGUACAUAUUGACAGAGAAGUUUGCGACCUCGAUGUUGGAUUAAGAUACCCAGGACGUGCAGCAGCUUCCAAUGGUUGGUUUGUUCAACCAUUAAAAUCUU